GACUACCGGGGUAUCUAAGCCGGUUCGCUCCCCACGCUUUCGUGCCUCAGCGUCAGAAAUGGUCCAGUAGUCUGCCUACGCCAUUGGUGUUCCUUCUUAUAUCUACGGAUUUCACUCCUACACAAGAAAUUCCAACUACCUCUACCAUUCUCAAGUCUCCCAGUUCGAGCAAUGGGCUGAUGGUUGAGCCACCAGAUUUCACUACUCGCUUAAAAGACCGCCUACGCAACUCUUUACGCCCAGUCACUCCGGAUAACGCUUGGGUCCUACGUAUGACCGCGGCUGCUGGCACGUAGUUAGCCGACCCUUAUUCAUUUGUUACCGUCAUAUUCUUCGCAAAUAAAAGAUGUUUACAACUCGAAAGCCUUCAUCCAUCACGCGGUGUUGCUCCAUCAGGGUUGCCCCCAUUGUGGAAGAUUCCUCACUGCAGCCCCCCGUAGG
rnacentral:rRNA from 1 species